rnacentral:rRNA from 1 species
UUCAGAAGCUAAGCAGGGUCAGGCUUGGUUAGUACUUGGAUGGGAGACUGUUUGGGAAUACAGGGUGCUGUAGGCU